ACCUCGCGACGGACAGGGAUUCGAGUGCCGUAAAAUCGGGCUGUCAUCUGUUUAAAUAACAGGUGAAGAAAGGGCCGGGCAGACCGGUGCCAGCCGCCGCGGUAAUACCGGCGGCUCGAGUGGUGGCCACUAUUACUGGGCUUAAAGCGUUCGUAGCUGGUUUGUUAAGUCUCUGGGGAAAUCUGCCGGCUCAACCGGCAGGCGUUCCAGGGUACUGGCAGACUAGGGACCGGAGAGGUGAGGGGUACUCCAGGGUAGGAGUGAAGUCCUGUAAUCCUUGGGGGACCACCUGUGGCGAAGGCGCCUCACCAGAACGGCUCCGACAGUGAGGGACGAAAGCUGGGGGAGCAAACCGGAUUAGAUACCCGGGUAGUCCCAGCCGUAAACGAUGCGCGUUAGGUGUAUCGGUGACCACGAGUCACCGAGGUGCCGAAGAGAAAUCGUGAAACGUGCCGCCUGGGAAGUACGGUCGCAAGGCUGAAACUUAAAGGAAUUGGCGGGGGAGCACCACAACAGGUGGAGCCUGCGGUUUAAUCGGACUCAACGCCGGAAAUCUCACCGGAUAAGACAGCUGGAUGAUAGUCGGGCUGAAGACUCUACUUGACUAGCUGAGAGGAGGUGCAUGGCCGUCGUCAGUUCGUACUGUGAAGCAUCCUGUUAAGUCAGGCAACGAGCGAGACCCACGCCAACAGUUGCCAGCUCGUCCUCCGGGAUGGUGGGGACACUGUUGGGACCGCCUCUGCUAAAGAGGAGGAAGGAAUGGGCAACGGUAGGUCAGCAUGCCCCGAAUUAUCCGGGCUACACGCGGGCUACAAUGGGUGGGACAAUGGGUAUCGACACCGAAAGGUGAAGGCAAUCUCCUAAACCCAUCCUUAGUUCGGAUUGUGGAUAAACUCGGGACAUGAAGCUGAUU
rnacentral:rRNA from 1 species